CGGCCAGGUAGUCACCUCCGCCAGUUUACCGAACACUCCGGUUCGGAAAUGCCGAUCAGAGGGAACUUCUCACUCAUCAUCUGGUGAAUCGUCUGCCACAAAGCUUCCACCGCUUAAAACAGUGCUUGGUGCUAAGCCCAGAUGAAGCAAGAAGGCUCGGUUGAAUAAACCGGCUAAUGAAGACGUGGCUGUUAAUCCGGAGAAAACUCCCGAUCCUGAAGAGGCCAACAUUGAUGACAUGCUAAAUGACCCGCCGCCUCAAGAUCAUGACUUUGUUCUAGAGCAGGCAGAGGUUGACACCACCGGGCACACCGACCAGCCAACAAGCCCUAUCUGGACUGACAAACCGGUCAGUCCGGUGAAAUAUACUGACAAAACAAAAACUCCAGUACGAGCUGCUGAGGAGAAGGAUGAUGAUGUUCUGAUUACUGGCAUUGGCCAUACUGAUCCAGGAAAUCAUGUCGCUUUGUCAAAACAUACCGCCAAAGAGGAAUUUUCUGCAAUUGGUACAGGCAAAUGGAAUGCCGAUCUGUCCGCUUACGCCCAUCUGAGUGCUCAAGACCUUCAUUCCAGCUAUCUGAACCGUCUAUACACCAGUCGUGACUAUGAAGCCGGCUUGGUAAAUAUGAUGAAGGAACGAUAUGAGAUAAUUUCAUAAAGUGCUUUUCCCUUAUAUUGAAUUGUAGUUUAUCAACUCCAGUAGCCCCCAAGUGACGGUUUAAGAUAUCAAUCUAAACCGGGACUUAGUAAAAACUUUUAUGCUUUGCAAUAAUGCAUCUGAACUUCACUGAAGUAGCCCCCAAGUGCCGAUUUAACUUUAUAAAGAUGAACCGGGACUUUGUAGAAGAAAUUCCCGUAUCAGCACUCUUUGAGCAAAUACCCAUUAGCCCCCAAGUGCCAAGUUGAAUACUUGUAUUAUGCUUGGGACUUUGUAGAAAAAGUAUGAUGAAGAGCAAAUAUGCAUUAGCCCCCAAGUAUCAAGGGCAUAACUUGUUAUGUGCUUGGUACUUCAAAUAUGUACUGUCAUCUCAUCAUAGAACUGUCUCUUUGUAGGCUGAGCUGAGCAAGAAAAAGAGCCAAACCGCUGAUCUACAGGAAAACCUUAAAUCGCAACAAGCUGAAACCUCCAAGGCGAAGGAAGAAUCGACCAACACUCUAGGCGCUAUGGAGAAACUGAAAGAAGGUUUCAACAAGGAGCGGACGGAUUGGGAGAAUGAAAAAGCCGAUUUGAUC